AGGGAAAUAGCUCAGUGGUAGAGUACAUGCUUAGCAUACACAAGGUCCUGGGUUCAAUCCCCAGUAUCUCCA
rnacentral:tRNA from 1 species